AUUGAACGCUGGCGGCAUGCCUUACACAUGCAAGUCGAACGGCAGCACGGGUGCUUGCACCUGGUGGCGAGUGGCGAACGGGUGAGUAAUACAUCGGAACGUACCUUAUCGUGGGGGAUAACGCAGCGAAAGCUGUGCUAAUACCGCAUACGCCCUGAGGGGGAAAGCGGGGGAUCGAAAGACCUCGCGCGAUUAGAGCGGCCGAUGCCUGAUUAGCUUGUUGGUGGGGUAAAAGCCCACCAAGGCGACGAUCAGUAGCUGGUCUGAGAGGACGAUCAGCCACACUGGGCAUGAGACACGGCCCAGACUCCUACGGGAGGCAGCAGUGGGGAAUUUUGGACAAUGGGGGCAACCCUGAUCCAGCAAUGCCGCGUGAGUGAAGAAGGCCUUCGGGUUGUAAAGCUCUUUUGUCAGGGAAGAAACACCGGCUCUAACACAGUCCGGGAAUGACGGUACCUGAAGAAUAAGCACCGGCUAACUACGUGCCAGCAGCCGCGGUAA
rnacentral:rRNA from 1 species